AUAAAUAGGUUCUAAAUGUUACACCUUGGGGGGCGGCCACUUUUCUAACCAUUAUUCUCUGUCACCGUAAACAAUUUCCAGCUUCUCCCUAACACUAAUUUUCGCAAACCAACAAAACUUCCAACCUUAACCCUUAUUUUCACGUACAUACAAUGUUCUUCUAUCUUUCUCAUUAACCGAUUCAUUCACACAAAAUACACAAUCAUCCAAAAAAAAAAACAUCAUAUUUUCCUCACCCACACGCGCAACUGUACAAAUCACCAUGAACAAAACUUUAAACCAUACAGUUCCACCAUUCAUAACCUUGUGCAUGUUCCAAACUAAUGCACAUAAUCAAUUUUUUCCCUUUUUUUAGUUUUCAUUUGCAGGUUGAAAUUAAAGAAGAGAUUCAAACACGUCACAACAACCCCGACCGCUCAGCAACAACCCGCCUCAAACCACAGACGCGCGAUCACCGCAUCGGACGCCGACUCCCCUUCUGUUUCGGUAGCUUUUUCAUCUCUGUUUGUAUUAUUUCAAGCUUGCAUUGAAUAACAUGUAUAUGUGUUGAAUUGAGUAGAAGCUAGGUUGAUUUCCGUAUGAUUGAAUAUUGUUGGAUUAACUUUUAUUUUGUCUUUGAUGUAUUAGAUCUAUAAAUUGGUAAAGAGUUUGUAAAAACUGACGUGAUAUUUGGGUUUAGAAUAGAUGUUUAUGUAGGGGUAAGGUUCAUGAGUUUCUAAAAAAAAAACAUGGUUCAAAGUGAAACAAAAAUGGAGUCUUUGUUCUUGGUAAGAAGAAGAACAUGAGAGAGUUGUUUCUAUAUUGUGUUGUUCUUUUUUUUACUAUCAAUUUGCCAUGUGUUACGAUCUCGUUGGUUAUUUGUCUAAACUUGAAAAGUCAAAAUCAUUAACUUGCUUCUACUAAUAACCAGGUUUUACUUUGUAUCUUUAUUCAUCAUGUAAUAUUUUUUUUAUAUAUAUAAUAAUAGUGACAUAGUUUGUUUGGUUGAGAAAAACUAGGGGAGUUAUCAGAAACCAUGGGCGCCCCAUAUAGUCUUUAGUUCUCUAUUUGUUUUUUUAUUUUUAUUUUUUUUAUUUAUUAUUUAUAUUCUUUUUUAAUUAUUAUUAUAUUUUAAUUAAUUUUUAUUGUAAAAAGAACUAGGAUUAAUAUUUCAUUGGGAGUUUGGGCUUACGUUCCUAUUUUAAUUUUUUUUUUCUAACUCACACCUAUUCUCUACUUUUUAACUUUUAUUUAUUUUAUUUAGUGUAUUUUUUUUAAAAUAAUGAUGUUGAUUUCUUAUUAUAAAAACACCGAAAAUAUUUAUUUAUUUUAGUUUAAUUUCUCACAUUAUUGAAAAAAACAAAAAAUGUUAUUCAUUUAUUUUUUCCUCUUUGGAUGGUUAGUUUUAUAUUUUUUCUUUUGAUAAUUGUAAUUAAUAUUUACAAGUAAUUUUUGUCAUUUUAUUCACGCAUCGUUGUAUAUAUCUGUACUAACACUCUGUUGAUUUUUUGCGAGACAUUGUUAUCAAGGCAUUGGACAUAGACACUUGCAAUUUUAUUUUUAUUCCUAUUUGGGUUUGUAAUUAUUUUUUAUCCCCAUUUUUUGGUUAUGUAACCCCCACCCCGAAGCGAUGUAAUAGCGUAGGACUCUAUUUUUCUGCUUUUAAUUUCUGCACUAUAUUGAACUGCUAUAUUAACUGUUGAAUGUAUGUUUAGGAUUGUAUGGCAAGAUAAUUAAUCAAUCGUAGCUAACCUAACUCAAGAUAAAAAAAUAACUGAAUCUAACACACUUGCACGCACUCACCCCUAGGGUACGCUCCUCUUUGUUGCCUUCGAAUAAUGGUCACGCCCCUCGAGCGUAGGGGUACUCUUAGCAAAGACUCUUGUCAAAUAAAUCGUCAUCGUCCCUUCGAUAAAAAGAUCAUAAGUCCCUCGAUGACCCUUCGAUGUUGCCUAAAAUCUAUGAUCUUGUCCCUCGAGUUGCUUUCGAUAAAUGAUGAUAGUCCCUUCGAAUUGCUAAGGUAUCUCUACUGGUUGCCUUUAUGACCAUUCAUAUCUCAUAGGACUUCCUACCCUCUUUAUGGUAUGGAUAGCCCCUAUGACGAUUCGAUGACCCUUCGAUGACCCGCACGUCCAAUAUAACAGGGACUACCUACUCCCAUAUAGUAUGGAUAGUCCUGGGAACUGUAAAAAUUAUAGAAAAAGACCAAUUAAUUAGGGUAGUUUUCUUAACCUGCCUAGCUCAAUAAAAAACAUCUUCCCAAUAUCAUUUCAAAAACUAAGGCUAUGCAUUUACGCUAAAGUCCUUAUGCCUCUUUCAAAACAAACAAACAAUAUGAGCUAAGCAAGUUAAGAGCCCGUAGAUAACUACGGAUGAAAAGGGUGCUUGCACCUUCCCUUUUCAUAACUUACCCCCCGAGCCCGUUUCUUUUCAAAAAGGUCUUUUUCUGUACUUUUUACCUUUCCUAACAUUGAAAAAAAUAAAAGUCGGUGGCGACUCAUGCUCACCGCAACAUUGGUUGCUAUAAAAAUAAAAGUCAGUUCACCGAGUUACAGUUUGCACAACACUACUCCCAGAUCCCAUGUAGCGAGCCUCUUGCGCAACACGCUACAGCCUCACGUAUCAGCCAGUAGAUCUACCUUGAACCCAGAUCUAAAGGACCAGAACGCAAGUGCACCAUGUGUACCCCCAGGCUGCAUACACGCAGGAUCAUGAGCUGAGUUCCCUACUUUUAUUUUUAUUUUUUUACUCAAUAAUUAUGUUUUAUAUUGUGUUUAAUUUAUUUUACUUAAUAAAAUAUCUUUUAAACAUCCUUUUAAAUAAAACUUCUAAAAAUAUCCAUGAGGAUUAGACGAUUUAAUCGAAAACUUUAUUUUGCCGAUUUAAUUAAUUAGGUUGAAAAACCAAUAAUUAAUUGGUCUUUUUUAUUUAUUCUAUCAAUCAUGGUUAACUUGUAUCCUAAUCAGGGUUCGCGAGAAUGUUGCCUUACACUAAAAAUAUUUUCUUUUGUGCAAUUUUUUCAGGGUUAGCAACAGGGUUUUCUCCGAUUACGCGCCUCGCCUUUCACGAAGCUAAGUCCCGACUCUAUUUCAUUAUUUAUUCCUUAUUUGCAUUAUAAAAUGGUUAUUCGGUAAAAAAACCUCAAAAGUCAAUGGACUCUUUUGCACUCACGUAUUUUGUUUCUUUUGCCAAUUUUUUAGGAUUCACCCCGAGGCUACCUCUGACUGUCAACUUUCAUCAAAACAAAAGCUAAGUCCUAUUUCGUAUUUAUUUUAAAUAAUCGUUCUGUUUUAUUUUGUUUUUUAUCAAAUUAGGAUUAAAUUUAAUUGCCAUUGAAUUAGCCAUACACUCACUGCUUCCUAUUAUUUUGUAUCAAUUCUCAGGUGAUCAGAGUCAACACUUCAUACUCGAGGCAAACCUUUGCCCAUCAACCUUCCAAUCGAAGCUAAGUAUUUUUACCCUUUUUUCGUAUUUUUACUUUUGUUGAUUAGGGUUAACCCUGUUUAUGGCUGAACUGAUAAUGCACUCAUAAAUGCCCGUUUCCUAUUUUUCCCGCCUUUUCAGGGUUUGUCAAUUGCCAAAGCGUCGAGCAUGGGGUUAGCAACAGGGUUUUCUCCGAUUACGCGCCUCGCCUUUCACGAAGCUAAGUCCCGACUCUAUUUCAUUAUUUAUUCCUUAUUUGCAUUAUAAAAUGGUUAUUCGGUAAAAAAACCUCAAAAGUCAAUGGACUCUUUUGCACUCACGUAUUUUGUUUCUUUUGCCAAUUUUUUAGGAUUCACCCCGAGGCUACCUCUGACUGUCAACUUUCAUCAAAACAAAAGCUAAGUCCUAUUUCGUAUUUAUUUUAAAUAAUCGUUCUGUUUUAUUUUGUUUUUUAUCAAAUUAGGAUUAAAUUUAAUUGCCAUUGAAUUAGCCAUACACUCACUGCUUCCUAUUAUUUUGUAUCAAUUCUCAGGUGAUCAGAGUCAACACUUCAUACUCGAGGCAAACCUUUGCCCAUCAACCUUCCAAUCGAAGCUAAGUAUUUUUACCCUUUUUUCGUAUUUUUACUUUUGUUGAUUAGGGUUAACCCUGUUUAUGGCUGAACUGAUAAUGCACUCAUAAAUGCCCGUUUCCUAUUUUUCCCGCCUUUUCAGGGUUUGUCAAUUGCCAAAGCGUCGAGCAUGGGGUUAGCAACAGGGUUUUCUCCGAUUACGCGCCUCGCCUUUCACGAAGCUAAGUCCCGACUCUAUUUCAUUAUUUAUUCCUUAUUUGCAUUAUAAAAUGGUUAUUCGGUAAAAAAACCUCAAAAGUCAAUGGACUCUUUUGCACUCACGUAUUUUGUUUCUUUUGCCAAUUUUUUAGGAUUCACCCCGAGGCUACCUCUGACUGUCAACUUUCAUCAAAACAAAAGCUAAGUCCUAUUUCGUAUUUAUUUUAAAUAAUCGUUCUGUUUUAUUUUGUUUUUUAUCAAAUUAGGAUUAAAUUUAAUUGCCAUUGAAUUAGCCAUACACUCACUGCUUCCUAUUAUUUUGUAUCAAUUCUCAGGUGAUCAGAGUCAACACUUCAUACUCGAGGCAAACCUUUGCCCAUCAACCUUCCAAUCGAAGCUAAG